rnacentral:rRNA from 1 species
UACGUAGGGCGCAAGCGUUGUCCGGAAUUAUUGGGCGUAAAGAGCUCGUAGGCGGUUUGUCGCGUCUGCUGUGAAAACCUAAGGCUCAACCUUGGGCUUGCAGUGGGUACGGGCAGACUAGAGUGCGGUAGGGGUGACUGGAAUUCCUGGUGUAGCGGUGGAAUGCGCAGAUAUCAGGAGGAACACCGAGUGGCGAAGGCAGGUCAGCCUGGGCCGCA